rnacentral:rRNA from 1 species
AGUCGAGGGGUAGAAUAGCAAUAUUUGAGACCGGCGCACGGGUGCGUAACGCGUAUGCAAUCUACCUUUUACAGAGGGAUAGCCCAGAGAAAUUUGGAUUAAUACCUCAUAGUAUAGUGAGUUGGCAUCAACACACUAUUAAAGUCACAACGGUAAAAGAUGAGCAUGCGUCCCAUUAGCUAGUUGGUAAGGUAACGGCUUACCAAGGCAACGAUGGGUAGGGGUCCUGAGAGGGAGAUCCCCCACACUGGUACUGAGACACGGACCAGACUCCUACGGGAGGCAGCAGUGAGGAAUAUUGGUCAAUGGGCGCAAGCCUGAACCAGCCAUGCCGCGUGCAGGAUGACGGUCCUAUGGAUUGUAAACUGCUUUUGCACAGGAAGAAACACUACCUCGUGAGGUAGCUUGACGGUACUGUGAGAAUAAGGAUCGGCUAACUCCGUGCCAGCAGCCGCGGUAAUACGGAGGAUCCAAGCGUUAUCCGGAAUCAUUGGGUUUAAAGGGUCCGUAGGCGGCCAGAUAAGUCAGUGGUGAAAGCCCAUCGCUCAACGAUGGAACGGCCAUUGAUACUGUUUGGCUUGAAUUAUUUGGAAGUAACUAGAAUAUGUAGUGUAGCGGUGAAAUGCUUAGAGAUUACAUGGAAUACCAAUUGCGAAGGCAGGUUACUACAAAAUUGAUUGACGCUGAUGG